UGGGGAAUCUUGGACAAUGGGGGCAAGCCUGAUCCAGCCAUGCCGCGUGAGUGAAGAAGGCCCUAGGGUCGUAAAGCUCUUUCACCUGUGAAGAUAAUGACGGUACCAGGAAAAGAAACCCCGGCUAACUCCGUGCCAGCAGCCGCGGUAAUACGGAGGGGGUUAGCGUUGUUCGGAAUUACUGGGCGUAAAGCGCACGUAGGCGGAUUAGAAAGUUAGAGGUGAAAUCCCGGGGCUCAACCCCGGAACUGCCUUUAAAACUGCUAGUCUUGAGUUCGAGAGAGGUGAGUGGAAUUCCAAGUGUAGAGGUGAAAUUCGUAGAUAUUUGGAGGAACACCAGUGGCGAAGGCGGCUCACUGGCUCGAUACUGACGCUGAGGUGCGAAAGUGUGGGGAGCAAACAGGAUUAGAUACCCUGGUAGUCCACACCGUAAACGAUGAAUGCCAGUCGUCGGCUAGCAUACUAUUCGGUGACACACCUAAC
rnacentral:rRNA from 1 species